rnacentral:lncRNA from 1 species
ACCUGAGCUUCUUCAUUGAAGUCUGGAUUUGUUGCAGCCAGCUGGUGGAACUUGGUGUUCCUCUUGCAGUUUGCUACCAGUACCGAUUGUAGCUUUCGUCACAUGCAGAAACACUUCAUGUCCACUCCCCCUCAAUUAUUCAAAAUGGUGGCCAUCUGACAUGUUGAUUCCUGUAGAGGUGUGAUUGUGAUGAACAAUUCUCAUUCUCAGCUUUUUGAGAGAAGCUUAUCAGGUUAUUGCAUGUUGCUCUUUUGACCAACUUGAAAAAUAUCUUAAGAAUGGAUGUAAAGCCAGUUUUCUGUAUGUUAGAAACUCGAGGAAUGAUAAAUAGUGCUUUUCUUCGUGCGGGGGACGAAAUUCCGCCAUUUCCCAUUUGUUUCCGAGACACUGACUGAUAAUGUAUUACGAACUUCCGGCGUCCUUUUACCUUUUCAGUCAUGUUAAUCAAAAGGUAUAGCCUAUAGCAUCAACUUGGCCAAAUAAUCCGAUAACGUGGGCUAAAACUACUGUACAUGCUUUCGAACUGUUACCUGUACGUCUCAUCCCAUGUAGCAAAGAAGGAGAUCCCUCUGUUUAACUGAUGGAGGAUUUGAGAACAUGCAGAAUGUGAACUACACUUUCAUGCUCAUGGUUUUGUUGCAGUCAGCUGGUGAAAGGUGUGGUAAAGUCAAGUUGAGCUGCGGCACAAAUAAAUCAAAAUUGAGUUGUCACUACAAUUUGAACUUGUAGUAAGCCCAUUUACAUAUGGGCCUCUACACAUUCCUCUUCGUGUAACCAAAUCGCAAUCAUGGCAGGUACAAUUGCCGCACGGCUCGAGUUGAAAGGUGAAUCACGAGAAGGCAAAACUUAUUGAGCGAGAGAAAUGUCGAUAGAAGGCAGUCAAAUGAGCAUCUCCGACAUGACAACUUCCAGUUCGCAAUUAUUGGCAAAUAUUCUUUCUUUUUGUAUUUAGUUAUGUAUCAAUCCCAUUUGUCUCUUUUUUGUUAGUAUGCCAGUUAUUAUUGAUUAUUAAUGUGGAAAUUAAUUGCUCGGUUAACCAUAGCGUCGUGCUGCUGUUGGGUGUUGUAUCGUUGAUGACUGGGUCGACCACUGGUGCACCGAUCUUCUUGGUAUGGCGGAUACCAAACCGCAACGCCGCCGGCUUACUACCCAAAAGCAACUCACGCUACGACCAGUUACUGCGCCGAGACCCUUAAGUACUACACCACUAAGGUACUGGUGUAUUAUACCACAACUUAACUGCCCCCAGCUACUACACUGACGCCCCGAAGUAUUACUCUGCCCCGAGCUACACCAACAAUGUACUGGGGUACUACACGAAUACGUAUGCUGCCCCAACCUACUACACCGAGGCUCCCAAGUACUACUCUGUCCUCAGCUACUUAUUACACCGAUGGCUAAAGUAGUACUACUCUGUUCCCAGCUACUACAACUAGGCUCCGGCUGAUUUCUAAACCAAAACGGUUGCAAACUACACCAAAGUGCUCAAGAACUACUCUGUCCCGAUCUACACAGCCACUACUUGCGGCAACAGGCGGUCAAGUAUUGCGCAGCCCUACACAGAAGCUGCCUUUUCGUACUACGAAGAAAUACUACACUGAUGCUCCAGUUUGCUACACGCAACCUAUGCUACACCAAGUUUACUUCACCGAGGAACCCAAGUAUUACUCUGCUCCAAGCUACUACCAAACUGAGCUCAGAAGUACUACACCAGCAAGGUUCCUGAGUGUUACACCACUACUUACGCUGCUACGACCUACACACCGAAGUUCCAUAGUAUUCCUAUGCCCCGAGUUACUACACUACUAGAGCACCAACAAAUUACAACACAAUCUUUCUUCUUCGUUUACUGUUCUGAUGGUUGCUGUCCAAUGAGGUUUGAUAUUGCAGCAUAUGCUGGUGAAACAUUUAUGUGCAUCAAAUUUAAUUUUAGCUGUGACUUGGUUCUGGUAUUGUGUUUUGAAAGUUGCAAUUUGUAUUUGGUUCAAUUGGCAUUUUGUAUAUUUUAUUCGGAUGUUAAGAUUUUAGAAGAAAGAAAAACAAACAUGGGGAAUUUGAUGCCAUACAAAAAAUAAACAAAUCUUUGCAAUUAGGAAAGGAAGGAGGAGGAAAUUGGGGUAGUGAAGUAAUCAUUUGAAUAUAUCAAAUGAAAUUAUAUUAUUUAAUUUAUUGUGAAAUUUUCAUAUUGUUGAGUAGUAAUGUAAUAAAUAUGAAAAAUAUAAUUGUUCCGUCACAAUAA